CCUACGGGAGGCAGCAGUAGGGAAUCUUCCACAAUGGGCGAAAGCCUGAUGGAGCAACGCCGCGUGAGUGAAGAAGGUCUUCGGAUCGUAAAACUCUGUUGUUAGAGAAGAAAGUGCGUGAGAGUAACUGUUCACGUUUCGACGGUAUCUAAUCAGAAAGCCACGGCUAACUACGUGCCAGCAGCCGCGGUAAUACGUAGGUGGCAAGCGUUAUCCGGAUUUAUUGGGCGUAAAGGGAACGCAGGUGGGUUUUUAAGUCUGAUGUGAAAGCCUUCGGCUUAACCGGGGUAGUGCAUUGGAAACUGGCAGACUUGAGUGCAGAAGAGGAAAGUGGAAUUCCAUGUGUAGCGGUGAAAUGCGUAGAUAUAUGGAAGAACACCAGUGGCGAAAGCGGCUCUCUGGUCUGUAACUGACGCUGAGGUUCGAAAGCGUGGGUAGCAAACAGGAUUAGAUACCCGUGUAGUC
rnacentral:rRNA from 1 species